rnacentral:rRNA from 1 species
UACGUAGGGGGCGAGCGUUAUCCGGAUUUACUGGGUGUAAAGGGAGCGCAGGCGGCCGGCCAAGCUGGAUGUGAAAUCCCGGGGCCCAACCCCGGGACUGCAUUUGGAACUGGCUGGCUGGAGUGCGGGAGAGGCAGGCGGAAUUCCUAGUGUAGCGGUGAAAUGCGUAGAUAUUAGGAGGAACACCAGUGGCGAAGGCGGCCUGCUGGACCGUUACUGACGCUGAGGCUCGAAAGCGUGGGGAGCAAAC